rnacentral:lncRNA from 1 species
AAAAAUCCUAUCUUUUCCUCAGAGCAGCAUGGAAAUCAGGCCACAGCAGAUGGCAGGAUUAGGGAUUGCCUCUGUUGAAUGGAACUGCUUUUACUCAGAUGAUACCAAUUUCAGAUUCCCUGAAGGAGCAGGGCUAAGUGAUUUAUACAGCCAUGAUGGACUCUGGCUUCACUUAGUACCAUGAAGCUAUCUGAAUUCAAAAGCUCCCAUUCUAUCAGAUGAAAAUGAAAUUAUUAUGCUGAAAUUAUUAAGCUCAAUCUUAGACAUCCUAUAGUAAGCUAGGAGCUGCAAAAGGCUGCUAGGAUCUUCAACUGCAGUGUUAAAGAAAUUCCAUCUGCCAAUAGAGAAGUCAAAACUCUUCGAGAGAAUGAAGGUUACAACCCAGACUCCACUGCUCAAGAUACAGUCUGACCAAAUUGGAGUAGGAGGAUACCAUCACCUCCCUCGUUCUUGAUGCCCCACCUCCUUGCCUCUGAUGGGACACUCAAACUCCAGCUCCCUGACAUCCUGGUGAUUGAGCACCGGUCUCAAGGUGGAUGUGUCCAGGGUUUCUCAAGCCUUGUGAAUCUGAGAGUUCUAGAAGACCUGGGUCCACUAAGUGAAGCUGACUGGUGGCCGGAGGAAUUUCUUCAUUGGAGAAAAAUACCACCCGAGUUGUGCCUCAUUAAUCCGAGUGAAAACCUGAACAGAAUUGUGAGUGAUGAAGUUCAGAAAGAUGGUGGACUCCUCUCAAAGAAUCACUAAGAUGGAGUCAGGGAGUCUUUCCAUCAAAACAAGUUAAAUUGCGUGUUCCCAAUCUACGCCCCAAUUCAUAUAUAUAGGAUUGAAACUUCUUACUUUGAUUGGCUAAAAGGCUAUAGGAUAUGCCUUUAGGAUUGAAAUGGUCCUUGUGUUGAUUGGUUAAAAUCUAUUUGAAUACUUAGAACAACUGGUUUUGUAAAUUAUGUAUUCUGAUUAAGGUUGUAACUCUCAAGUAACUAGCCAAUAAUGAGUGAGAGGAAAGACCAUGUUUCCAUUAAGGACUAGUAUAAAAGAAGGUUGCCUGCUCCUUGUACUUGUCUGCUGGCUAUAACACUUUUAACACUGGAUUGUGAGUACCCAUUCUUGGGAGGAUGAAAUAAAAGAGCCCUUGACACAUCGGCUGAUGUCCA